AGCUGACAUCUUGGGAUUGUCUAACCUAUCAAGUGGCUCAUCUCUGGAGAAGAUUGAUUCUCCCUCUCCUAGCAAACAUUGACUGCCUGUACAGUUCUUCUAGAAAUAAAGCCAUGCUAUCUGCACUGAGAUGAACACUGGCUUCAAAACAUACGUCAAAACCAUAUGACUGAACAAGACCUUAUUUGGAAAUGUGGUCUUUGGAUCUUGAGAUAACAUAGUGGAUUUAUGGAAACAUGCCCAGGUCUUGGGAUCUUUGAAGAUGAAGUAGAGGCACCCUGAAAGCCUUUGCAGGUUGAAGAAACAUGAAUCUAUGAAAGCAAAGAGGAAGAUGAGAGGAAGGGGAUGAACUCUACAUUUGACCUUGGGCUGUUUAUUACAGCUCUUAGAAUCUUUCUUCCAGUCUAUGCAUUCAGCUAGACGGUAUUUUAUCCUCUGAUGAUUCAAAUCUGAUUCACUUCUACAUGUUCAUAAAGGGGAUUAAUUGAGCAUAAUAGCAGAAAAUAAUUCAUCACAUUAGUCUUUGCAUGUUUUUAAUCUCUUCCAACAACAACAAAAAAAUUACUAUAAAGAAAAAACAACUGGUAGUAGUCCCCAGAAAUACAAACAGGCAGUACAGGAGUUUAAAAGCACCUCCUUAGUAUGUGUAUUACAAUUGCUGCUUUAUAGGUGAAGAAGUUGGUGUCUGAAUAGAGUGAAUAACAUAUGCAAUAGAGCCUAUAUGUAAGGUGACCUGGCUUUAUUAUAACUUAUGUAGCCUCAAAACCUUGUUUUUACUAAUGUGAAUAAUACUUUUUUAAAGUUAAAAGUUCUAAAAAGCAGUG